UCGUGCCGUGAGGUGUUGGGUUAAGUCCCGCAACGAGCGCAACCCCUGCUUUCAGUUGCUACCGGGUCAUGCCGAGCACUCUGAAAGGACUGCCCAGGAUAACGGGGAGGAAGGUGGGGAUGACGUCAAGUCAGCAUGGCCUUUAUGCCUGGGGCCACACACGUGCUACAAUGGCCGGUACAAAGCGCUGCAAACCCGUGAGGGGGAGCCAAUCGCAAAAAACCGGCCUCAGUUCAGAUUGAGGUCUGCAACUCGACCUCAUGAAGGCGGAAUCGCUAGUAAUCGCGGAUCAGCACGCCGCGGUGAAUACGUUCCCGGGCCUUGUACACACCGCC
rnacentral:rRNA from 1 species